GACGAACGCUGGCAGCGUGCCUAAUACAUGCAAGUUGAGCGAUGAAGCUUGGUGCUUGCACCAAUUUGAAGAGCAGCGCACGGGUGAGUAACGCGUGGGGAAUCUGCCUUUGAGCGGGGGACAACAUUUGGAAACGAAUGCUAAUACCGCAUAACAACUUUAAACAUAAGUUUUAAGUUUGAAAGAUGCAAUUGCAUCACUCAAAGAUGAUCCCGCGUUGUAUUAGCUAGUUGGUGAGGUAAAGGCUCACCAAGGCGAUGAUACAUAGCCGACCUGAGAGGGUGAGCGGCCACAUUGGGACUGAGACACGGCCCAAACUCCUACGGGAGGCAGCAGUAGGGAAUCUUCGGCAAUAGACGAAAGUCUGACCGAGCAACGCCGCGGGAGUGAAGAAGGUUUUCGGAUCGUAAAACUCUGUUGGUAGAGAAGAACGUUGGUGAGAGUGGAAAGCUCAUCAAGUGACGGUAACUACCCAGAAAGGGGCGGCUAACUACGUG
rnacentral:rRNA from 1 species